AAGUCGUAACAAGGUUUCCGUAGGUGAACCUGCGGAAGGAUCAUUGUCGAACCCUGCAUAGCAGAACGACCCGUGAACAUGUAAAAACACCGGCUAAGYGGGGACCGAAGCUUACGUUUCGAUCUUUGUGAGGCCUUGUCGACGUGUGUCUAUGCUUGCGCCAAACAUUUGGGGCAUCAUGGAUUUCAUGGAGACACGAUAACAAACCCCCGGCACGGUACGUGCCAAGGAAAACUAAACUUAAAGGGCCCGUGCUAUUGCGCCCCGUUCGCGGUGUGCGUGUUGUAUGUGGCAUCUUUGUUAAACCUAAAACGACUCUCGGCAACGGAUAUCUCGGCUCACGCAUCGAUGAAGAACGUAGCAAAAUGCGAUACUUGGUGUGAAUUGCAGAAUCCCGUGAACCAUCGAGUUUUUGAACGCAAGUUGCGCCCGAAGCCAUCCGGUUGAGGGCACGUCUGCCUGGGCGUCACGCAUCACGUCGCCCCCACCAAACAUUCCCAUCAAGGGACUACUUUGGUUGGGGCGGAGAUUGGUCUCCCGUGCCCAUGGUGUGGUUGGCCUAAAUGGGAGUCUCAUCAAGAGGGACGCACGGCUAGUGGUGGUUGAUAACACAGUCGUCUCGUGUCGUGCGUUUUCAUUCCUUGUUGUAGAUACUCUUAAAGUACCCUAACGCGUUGUCUUGCGAUGAUGCUUCGAUCGCGACCCCAGGUCAGGCGGGACU
rnacentral:rRNA from 1 species